GGGGAUUUAGCUCAGUGGUAGAGCGCUUGCCUAGCAAGCACAAGGCCCCAAGGCCCUGGGUUCGGUCCCCAGCUCCG
rfam:Rattus norvegicus chromosome 10, whole genome shotgun sequence.